AUACGUAGGGGGCGAGCGUUGUCCGGAAUGAUUGGGCGUAAAGGGCGCGUAGGCGGCGCGGUAAGUCUGGAGUGAAAGUCCUGCUUUUAAGGUGGGAAUUGCUUUGGAUACUGCCGCGCUUGAGUGCAGGAGAGGUUAUCGGAAUUCCCGGUGUAGCGGUGAAAUGCGUAGAGAUCGGGAGGAACACCAGUGGCGAAGGCGGGUAACUGGACUGCAACUGACGCUGAGGCGCGAAAGUGUGGGGAGCAAACAGGAUUAGAUACCCUGGUAGUCCACACUGUAAACGAUGAAUGCUAGGUGUAAGAGGUAUCGACCCCUUUUGUGCCGGAGUCAACACAAUAAGCAUUCCGCCUGGGGAGUACGGCCGCAAGGUUGAAACUUAAAGGAAUUGACGGGG
rnacentral:rRNA from 1 species